AGGGCUAAAGAGUACAAUCAGACGAGUGAAAGAAACCUGGAAACCAUGUGACUCAGGAUGGAGAGCAACGCAAUCAAAUCCCUUAAAUAAAAAUUUAUUUACAAUAAAUAAUUUUGUCUAGUUUUAUACAUUAAACUAAAAGAAAACCCUUUACACAGUUUAUAGGAAGUCAGCAUGUAUUUUUGGCUCGAAGUUUCUCUAGUGUUUUCUGCAGAAGGAAUGAAAAUUAAUUAAGUUUUGUUUGAAUUUUGUUUGCUUUUUAGAGGGAAAAACUGGCCCCUGCUCACCUUAUGAAAUUCUUUUGCCCUUGCUCUAUUUUGGGCACAGACUUCUUGCUUUGCUUUUUCUUCUCUUUGCUGUUUUACCUCAGCUAACUGCCUGUAUAAUCUGUAAGAAAUAUACAUGGGAUUAAAUGGGCAUUAAUGGCUAAAUACUACAAGUAAAUAACAAUGCACAUAUACCUUAGUGCCCUCUGGUGUAUGAGGGCUUGUGUGGUCCUUCUCUCUUCAGGAAGAGGUGCUCUGACUUUACUAACACCCUUCCGGCGGGUCAGGGAAAAACCUAAGAUAAAGGAUUUCUUUAGGUUCCUAAUCUUCAUGUUUUGCUUAAAAAAAAAAAAAAAAAAGGAAACAUACCUGUUGUGAGUUGCGUUUUAUUCCGCAUUUCUCUCUGCCUCUGGUAGGAUCGCUCCACAAAUGUCUUUUUUCUUUUCAUUGUGACUGCAAUUUUUUUUUAAAAAAAAAAGGCAUCAUUAGCGAUUAUUUGGCUAGGCAGUGGUGGUGCUUUGAAGCAGAGGCAGGCAAAUCUAUGAGUUCAAGGCCAGCCUGGACUAGACAGAGAAACUGGCUCAAAAGAAAGAAAAACAUUAGGGGCUGAUAAGAUACAAGACUUACCUGAAGGUGCCACUUGGGGUUGAUCCAUACAAGACUCUAAUACAGCUCCAUAAACAGAGGUUUCUGUUGAAGAUGCACCUGCCUGAUUUUGAGAAGGUGACUUUGUUUCACUGUGUUUCCAGGCUUUGCUAGCAUUAAACCAAAUCUUGAGCCCCAUUUUCCUUUGCAGACAAGGUACCAUUGGGCAAAGUUGCUGCUAGCACCAACUCCUCUAUAACUUAACCUGUUUCUUUAAGGUAGAAAACGUGCUGCUUGACUGAGGGAUUCUAUAAUUACAAGACUUUGUCCUUAGCCCUGUGGAGGACUUGCUUGUGGCGUCUAUAAUUCAUUUACCUGGGCACAGCUCUGUGCUUCACUGCCUCUCUCUUCAAGGGUUAAGGUAGCAAGAUCUGUUUCAGCAGUGCUGAUGUCACUGGCGCUUACGAGAGUGAGAUCUGGCUCUUCCAUUAUACCAUAGCCAGAUUCUGUUUCCUGUUCAACAGUUCAAAGAGAAAGCAUGUCUUAUGUUUUGGUCAAUACAGUAUUUUUCUGUCCUGAAACCUGCUCUGUAAUCUACCUGCCUCUGCACCACCUGGUUAGAUAAUAUUUGUAUAAAAACUCAGGACAUAUGGGAGGAGCAGUGUGGAAGAACUGGGUGUCCUUAGUCUGGCUUUGAAUUCAGACCCUGCCCAUCUCUGCCUUCCUAGCAUAAAGUAAGCUUGUUGACUGUAAAGUUGGAAAUCUAACAAACUGAACCAAACUUGCAUUGGUGUUUUCAAUUCUGCUGGAAAGAUUUCUCAGAAAGAGGGUGCUAUUUUACAAAGCACACUUACCCAGACAGGAAUAGAGCUCGGAAAUGAAUUCAUAAUGUGCUCUGCUUCCAAAAGCUGAGGUGGGUUUGUGGUUUCAGUUUUAAAUCUGUUCUGAAUAGACAUUUCACUUUCAACACUCAAUGAAUGAGACCCCUCGGGAUUUUCUGCAGGUGGAUUUAUAAUAGUUUCAUUCUUAUCUUGAGUGAGCCUUUGGCUUUGUGGCACUGUAACCAUUUUUCUUGACUGUUCCUCAAAGCCCAGCAUAGAGGUAGAAGAACCCGGAGAGCUCCGCAGCAGGUGAUUAAAUACAGUGGAACUAUUGGGAGAACUGCAGACUGGACUCAGGUUCUCUGUUGAGGACUGAAAAUAAACACUUUUUUUCGUAUUUUGUAGUAUUUCUGUCUGUUCAGAAUAGUCAUGGUUUUCCGUGCCUUGGGAGGCAACUCUUGCUUCGAUGCUGUAAAUACUUGGUAGAUCAGCAUGUUGGCUUUCCUGUGAAGAGAAUUCUGGUAGAAGCUGCUUGAAAGAUUGUUCAGAUCCUGCAGUAAAAAAAAGUUCACAAAGUCAGCAUAAAUACUAGAUAGAGAAACUCACAUUUUAAGUAUAUAUUAUUACAUAAUUACAUUAUUUAAUAAACAGAUCCUCAAAAAGAGGAAAGUCUUGGGCUUUCACGUACCUUCAGCAGCAAAACUCUGUGUUGCAGCAUGAGCUAGGCUAAUGUCAGGCUGCUCUGAAUUGGCCCUAAAUGCUGUGGAACAAGCUGUGCUUCUGGAGGAUUCCUUAACAUCGUGUUUCUUAGGUGAAGAUUCAGAGCUCUGCUGAAAACAAAGACUGAAAUACUGACUCUGUAUUAUAACAACCCAUACCCUGCCCGGAAUGAUCUAGUUGCUGUGAGAUAAUUAACCACUUCCUCUGAUUUCUGUAAACCUACUUAAUGCUGAGUGUGGGUGCUGGGAUGGUGAAGGGGAACAGCACAAAGGUGAAGGGGAGCUACAAAAUCUACAAAAACAGUACUAAUAAAUCCUAUCAUUUGUGUUGUCAAA